UCUCUAUGCGGUGUCAGCAGCCGCGGUAAUACGGAGGGUGCGAGCGUUGUCCGGAUUUAUUGGGUUUAAAGGGUGCGUAGGUGGCUGUUUAAGUCAGUGGUGAAAUACGGUUGCUCAACAAUCGAGGUGCCAUUGAUACUGAAUAGCUUGAAAUAAUUGGAGGCUGCCGGAAUGGAUGGUGUAGCGGUGAAAUGCAUAGAUAUCAUCCAGAACACCGAUUGCGAAGGCAGGUGGCUACGAUUGGUUUGACACUGAGGCACGAAAGCAUGGGGAGCAAACAGGAUUAGAUACCCUGGUAGUCCAUGCUGUAAACGAUGAGGACUCGCUGUUUGAUGGCAACAUUGAGCGGCUUAGGGAAACCGUUAAGUCCUCCACCUGGGGAGUACGCCGGCAACGGUGAAACUCAAAUGAAUUGGC
rnacentral:rRNA from 1 species